GAUUUGAGAUUUAGUUUGUUUUGAGGUUUGGAUUAAGGAAAAAAAAAGAAAUAAUAAUAAUAAUCUCGUAAAGCGUGAAAGUGGAAAAAAAAGUACUCAUCUUCCCCUUCAAACCCUAGUUGCCGUGCCCAACCGACUACCAUCCCUCAUCCGCCGCCGUCGGCCUUCUCCACUCAUCCUUUUGCCGUGCAGCAGCACCACCAGUCAAGCAGUGCAAGUCGUCCGUCUCCACGUCGUCAUCGAGACGGAUUCGUUCCCUCUUUGUUCGAUCGUUCGCGAACCAUCGAACGCCGGUACCGGACGAUCUCCGCUCGCCCUUCCGCCGAGCAGCAAAACCGUCACAAGUCUCUGAGCCCUCCGUCCAUCGCACUGUCGAAACCGUCAAACAUCUUGUGCGUCGCCGCGCAACCGAACCCGCACCUUCACCCAAGCCUGCACCAGCUGCUCAUGUGAAAUUCGAGCCGCGCGCGCCUUAGCCCAGUCGCCCUCCUGCGUCCGAGCUGCAUGUCUGCGCCAGUCGCCCCUUACCCGAGCCGUUUUCAAAGCCUUAGCCAAGCCACCCUUGUUUUCCAAGUCGUUUGAGCCACCUAACCUUUUUUAGUCAUUUUCCAUCUAUUUUAGGUCAAUUGAGGCUUGAAUCGAGGAAUUUCCGAAACCAAUGAUAAAUUUGGAAUUUUCUCCAACUUUGGCCAAAGGUAGAGGUAAGGGCAAAGGCAAGCUGGGACUGAUAAGAAGUGACCAUGGCGAGCCAUAGGGACCAUUUUGCUUCCGCUUUAUGUCAUUGUUUGGAUUCCAGUAUUUGCAUUUUUAUUUUAUUCUUUUAUUUUUAUUUUAUUUCUUUAAAACUAAAUAGGGUCCGAAUUAGGAUUUUGUUUUUAGACUUAUUUCUAUAUACAUUUAUUUAUGCUUUUAAUGAGAAAUUCGAGGUUUUGUUUCA